AGUGAACGCUGGCGGUAGGCCUAACACAUGCAAGUCGAACGGCAGCACAGGAGAGCUUGCUCUCUGGGUGGCGAGUGGCGGACGGGUGAGGAAUACAUCGGAAUCUACUCUGUCGUGGGGGAUAACGUAGGGAAACUUACGCUAAUACCGCAUACGACCUACGGGUGAAAGCAGGGGAUCUUCGGACCUUGCGCGAUUGAGUGAGCCGAUGUCGGAUUAGCUAGUUGGCGGGGUAAAGGCCCACCAAGGCGGCGAUCCGUAGCUGGUCUGAGAGGAUGAUCAGCCACACUGGAACUGAAACACGGUCCAGACUCCUACGGGAGGCAGCAGUGGGGAAUAUUGGACAAUGGGCGCAAGCCUGAUCCAGCCAUACCGCGUGGGUGAAGAAGGCCUUCGGGUUGUAAAGCCCUUUUGUUGGGAAAGAAAUCCAGCUGGCUAAUACCCGGUUGGGAUGACGGUACCCAAAGAAUAAGCACCGGCUAACUUCGUGCCAGCAGCCGCGGUAA
rnacentral:rRNA from 1 species